rnacentral:rRNA from 1 species
GAUGAACGCUGGCGGCGUGCCUAAUACAUGCAAGUCGAGCGAACGGACGAGAAGCUUGCUUCUCUUAUGUUAGCGGCGGACGGGUGAGUAACACGUGGAUAACCUACCUAUAAGACUGGGAUAACUUCUGGAAACCGUAGCUAAUACCGGAUAAUAUUUUUAACCGCAUGGUUCAAAAGUGAAAGACGGUCUUGCUGUCACUUAUAGAUGUAUCCGCGCUGCAUUAGCUAGUUGGUAAGGUAACGGCUUACCAAGGCAACGAUGCAUAGCCGACCUGAGAGGGUGAUCGGCAACACUGGAACUGAGAAACGGUCAAGACUCCUACGGGAGGCAGCAGUAGGGAAUCUUCCGCAAUGGGCGAAAGCCUGACGGAGCAAGGCCGCGUGAGUGAUGAAGGUCUUCGGAUCGUAAAACUCUGUUAUUAGGGAAGAACAUAUGUGUAAGUAACUGUGCACAACUUGACGGUACCUAAUCAGAAAGCCACGGCUAACUACGUG